rnacentral:rRNA from 1 species
AACGAACGCUGGCGGCGUGGAUAAGACAUGCAAGUCGAACGGGAGUUUGUUUAUAGCAAUAUGAGUGAACUCUAGUGGCGAAAGGGUGCGUAACACGUAGCUACCUACCUCGAAGUUGGGGAUAGCUCGGCGAAAGCCGGAUUAAUACCGAAUGUGAUCGUGAGAUCAAAGCUGGGGAUCGUAAGACCUGGCGCUUUGAGAUGGGGCUGCGGCCUAUCAGCUAGUGGCGGGGUAACGGCCCACCAAGGCUUAGACGGGUAGCUGGUCUGAGAGGACGAUCAGCCACACUGGAACUGAGACACGGUCCAGACUCCUACGGGAGCAGCAGUGAGGAAUAUUGCGCAAUGGCCGAAAGGCUGACGCAGCGACGCCGCGUGAAGGAUGAAGUCCGUUAGGAUGUAAACUUCUUUUGCAGGGGAUGAAUGUGGAGCUUCGCGCUCCCUUGACCGUACCCUGCGAAUAAGGAUCGGCUAACUACGUGCCAGCA